UUAAACCCAUGAACUUUGAUUGAAUUGUGUGAAUGAUAAAAACGUUGAUGUUAAACCUAUGAAAUUUGGUUGAAUUGUGCGAAUAAUGAAAAUGUUGAUGUUAAACCUAUGAAAUUUGAUUCAAUUGUCUGAAUGGUGAAGAUGUUGUUGUUAAACCUAUGAAAUUUGAUUGAAUUGUGUGAAUGAUGAAAACGUUGAUGUUAAACCUAUGAAAUUUGAUUGAAUUGUGCGAAUAAUGAAAAAAAAGUUGUUAAACCUAUGAAAUUUGAUUGAAUUGUGUGAAUGAUGAAGAAAAUGUUGAUGUUAAACCUAUGAAAUUUGAUUGAAUUUGUGAAUGAUGAAAAUGUUGUUGUUAAACCCAUGAAAUUUGAUUGAAUUGUGUGAAUGAUGAAAAUGUUGUUGUUAAACCCAUGAAAUUUGAUUGAAUUGUGUGAAUGAUGAAAAUGUUGUUGUUAAACCCAUGAAAUUUGAUUGAAUUGUGUGAAUGAUGAAAAUGUUGUUGUUAAACCCAUGAAAUUUGAUUGAAUUGUGUGAAUGAUGAAAAUGUUGUUGUUAAACCCAUGAAAUUUGAUUGAAUUGUGUGAAUGAUGAAAAUGUUGUUGUUAAACCCAUGAAAUUUGAUUGAAUUGUGUGAAUGAUGAAAAUGUUGUUGUUAAACCCAUGAAAUUUGAUUGAAUUGUGUGAAUGAUGAAAAUGUUGUUGUUAAACCCAUGAAAUUUGAUUGAAUUGUGUGAAUGAUGAAAAUGUUGUUGUUAAACCCAUGAAAUUUGAUUGAAUUGUGUGAAUGAUGAAAAUGUUGUUGUUAAACCCAUGAAAUUUGAUUGAAUUGUGUGAAUGAUGAAAAUGUUGUUGUUAAACCCAUGAAAUUUGAUUGAAUUGUGUGAAUGAUGAAAAUGUUGUUGUUAAACCCAUGAAAUUUGAUUGAAUUGUGUGAAUGAUGAAAAUGUUGUUGUUAAACCCAUGAAAUUUGAUUGAAUUGUGUGAAUGAUGAAAAUGUUGUUGUUAAACCCAUGAAAUUUGAUUGAAUUGUGUGAAUGAUGAAAAUGUUGUUGUUAAACCCAUGAAAUUUGAUUGAAUUGUGUGAAUGAUGAAAAUGUUGUUGUUAAACCCAUGAAAUUUGAUUGAAUUGUGUGAAUGAUGAAAAUGUUGUUGUUAAACCCAUGAAAUUUGAUUGAAUUGUGUGAAUGAUGAAAAUGUUGUUGUUAAACCCAUGAAAUUUGAUUGAAUUGUGUGAAUGAUGAAAAUGUUGUUGUUAAACCCAUGAAAUUUGAUUGAAUUGUGUGAAUGAUGAAAAUGUUGUUGUUAAACCCAUGAAAUUUGAUUGAAUUGUGUGAAUGAUGAAAAUGUUGUUGUUAAACCCAUGAAAUUUGAUUGAAUUGUGUGAAUGAUGAAAAUGUUGUUGUUAAACCCAUGAAAUUUGAUUGAAUUGUGUGAAUGAUGAAAAUGUUGUUGUUAAACCCAUGAAAUUUGAUUGAAUUGUGUGAAUGAUGAAAAUGUUGUUGUUAAACCCAUGAAAUUUGAUUGAAUUGUGUGAAUGAUGAAAAUGUUGUUGUUAAACCCAUGAAAUUUGAUUGAAUUGUGUGAAUGAUGAAAAUGUUGUUGUUAAACCCAUGAAAUUUGAUUGAAUUGUGUGAAUGAUGAAAAUGUUGUUGUUAAACCCAUGAAAUUUGAUUGAAUUGUGUGAAUGAUGAAAAUGUUGUUGUUAAACCCAUGAAAUUUGAUUGAAUUGUGUGAAUGAUGAAAAUGUUGUUGUUAAACCCAUGAAAUUUGAUUGAAUUGUGUGAAUGAUGAAAAUGUUGUUGUUAAACCCAUGAAAUUUGAUUGAAUUGUGUGAAUGAUGAAAAUGUUGUUGUUAAACCCAUGAAAUUUGAUUGAAUUGUGUGAAUGAUGAAAAUGUUGUUGUUAAACCCAUGAAAUUUGAUUGAAUUGUGUGAAUGAUGAAAAUGUUGUUGUUAAACCCAUGAAAUUUGAUUGAAUUGUGUGAAUGAUGAAAAUGUUGUUGUUAAACCCAUGAAAUUUGAUUGAAUUGUGUGAAUGAUGAAAAUGUUGUUGUUAAACCCAUGAAAUUUGAUUGAAUUGUGUGAAUGAUGAAAAUGUUGUUGUUAAACCCAUGAAAUUUGAUUGAAUUGUGUGAAUGAUGAAAAUGUUGUUGUUAAACCCAUGAAAUUUGAUUGAAUUGUGUGAAUGAUGAAAAUGUUGUUGUUAAACCCAUGAAAUUUGAUUGAAUUGUGUGAAUGAUGAAAAUGUUGUUGUUAAACCCAUGAAAUUUGAUUGAAUUGUGUGAAUGAUGAAAAUGUUGUUGUUAAACCCAUGAAAUUUGAUUGAAUUGUGUGAAUGAUGAAAAUGUUGUUGUUAAACCCAUGAAAUUUGAUUGAAUUGUGUGAAUGAUGAAAAUGUUGUUGUUAAACCCAUGAAAUUUGAUUGAAUUGUGUGAAUGAUGAAAAUGUUGUUGUUAAACCCAUGAAAUUUGAUUGAAUUGUGUGAAUGAUGAAAAUGUUGUUGUUAAACCUAUGAAAUUUGAUUGAAUUGUGUGAAUGAUGAAAAUGUUGUUGUUAAACCCAUGAACUUUGAUUGUAUUGUGUGAAUGAUGAAAACGUUGAUGUUAAACCUAUGAAAUUUGGUUGAAUUGUGCGAAUGAUGAAGAAAACGUUGUUGUUAAACCUAAGAAAUUUGAUUGAAUUAUGCGAAUGAUGAAGAUGUUGUUCCUAAACCCUUGAAAUUUUAUUGAAUUGUGUGAAUGAUGAAGAUGUUGUUGUUAAACCUAUGAAAUUUGAUUGAAUUGUGUGAUGAUGAAAAUGUUGGUGUUAAACCCAUGAAAUUUGAAUGAAUUGUGUGAAUGAAGAAAACGUUGAUGUUAAACCUAUGAAAUUUGAUUGAAUCGUAUGAAUGAUGAAAAUGUUGUUAUUAAACCCAUGAAAUUUGAUUGAAUUUUGUGAAUGAUGCAAAUGUUGCUGUUAAACCCAUGAAAUUUGAUUGAUUUGUGUGAAUAAUGAAAAUGUUGUUGUAAAUUUAUGAAUUUUGAUUGAAUUGUGUGAAUGAUGAAAAUGUUGUUGUUAAACCCAUGAACUUUGAUUGAAUUNNNNNNNNNNNNNNNNNNNNNNNNNNNNNNNNNNUGUUAAACCUAUGAAAUUUGGUUCAAUUGUGUGAAUGAUGAAAAUGUUGUUGUUAAACCCAUGAACUUUGAUUGAAUUGUGUGAAUGAUGAAAACGUUGAUGUUAAACCUAUGAAAUUUGGUUGAAUUGUGCGAUUAAUGAAAAUGUUGUUGUUAAACCUAUGAAAUUUGGUUCAAUUGUGUGAAUGAUGAGAAUGUUGUUGUUAAACCCAUGAACUUUGAUUGAAUUGUGUGAAUGAUGAAAACAUUGAUGUUAAACCCAUGAAAUUUGGUUGAAUUGUGCGAAUGAUGAAAACGUUGUUAAACCUAUGAAAUUUGAUUGAAUUGUGUAAAUGAUGAAGAUGUUUUGUUAAACCUGUGCAAUUUGAUUGACUUGUGUGAUGAUGAAAAUGUAGUUGUUAAACCCAUGAAAUUUGAUUGAAUUGUGUGAAGGAUGAAAAUGUUGAUGUUAAACCUAUGAAAUUUGAUUGAAUUGUGUGAAUGAUGAAAAUGUUGAUGUUAAACCUAUGCAAUUUGAUUGAAUUUGUGAAUGAUGAAAAUGUUGUUGUUAAACCCAUGAAAUUUGAUUGAAUUGUGUGAAUGAUGAAAAUGUUGUUGUUAAACCCAUGAGAUUUGAUUGAAUUUUGUGAAUGAUGAAAAUGUUGUUGUUAAACCCAUGAAAUUUGAUUGAAUUGUGUGAUGAUGAAAAUGUUGUUGUUAAACCCAUGAACUUUGAUUGAAUUGUGUGAAUAAUGAAAAUGUUGUUGUUAAACCUAUGAUAUUUGAUUGAAUUGAGUGAAUGAUGAAAAUGUUGUUGUUAAACCCAUGAAAUUUGAUUGAAUUGUGUGAAUGAUGAAAACGUUGAUGUUAAACCUAUGAAAAUUGAAUGAAUUAUGCGUAUGAUGAAGAAAAUGUUGUUGUCAAACCUAUGAAAUUUGAUUGAAUUGUGUGAAUGAUGAAAAUGUUGUUGUUAAACCCAUGAAAUUUGAUUGAAUUUUGUGAAUGAUGAAAACGUUGUUGUUAAACCCAUGAAAUUUGAUUAAAUUGUGUGAAUAAUGAAAAUGUUGAUGUUAAACCUAUGAAAUUUGAUUCAAUUGUGUGAAUGAUGAAAAUGUUGUUGUUAAACCCAUGAAAUUUGAUUGAAUUGUGUGAAUGAUGAAAAUGUUGUUGUUAAACCCAUGAAAUUUGAUUGAAUUGUGUGAAUGAUGAAAAUGUUGUUGUUAAACCCAUGAAAUUUGAUUGAAUUGUGUGAAUGAUGAAAAUGUUGUUGUUAAACCCAUGAAAUUUGAUUGAAUUGUGUGAAUGAUGAAAAUGUUGUUGUUAAACCCAUGAAAUUUGAUUGAAUUGUGUGAAUGAUGAAAAUGUUGUUGUUAAACCCAUGAAAUUUGAUUGAAUUGUGUGAAUGAUGAAAAUGUUGUUGUUAAACCCAUGAAAUUUGAUUGAAUUGUGUGAAUGAUGAAAAUGUUGAUGUUAAACCCAUGAAAUUUGAUUGAAUUGUGUGAAUGAUGAAAAUGUUGUUGUUAAACCUACGAAAUUUGAUUGAAUUGUGCGAAUAAUGAAAAAAAUGUUGUUGUUAAACCUAUGAAAUUUGAUUGAAUUGUGUGAAUGAUGAAGAUGUUGUUGUUAAACCUAUGAAAUUUGAUUGAAUUGUGUGAAUGAUGAAAACGUUGAUGUUAAACCUACGAAAUUUGAUUGAAUUGUGCGAAUAAUGAAAAAAAUGUUGUUGUUAAACGUAUGAAAUUUGAUUGAAUUGUGUGACUGAUGAAGAUGUUGUUGUUAAACCUAUGCAAUUUGAUUGAAUUGUGUGAUGAUGAAAAUGUGGUUCUUAAACCCAUGAAAUUUGAUUGAAUUGUGUGAAUAAUGAAAAUGUUGUUGUUAAACCUAUGAAAUU
rnacentral:lncRNA from 1 species